AAACAAUGGGGAACAGCGUUGAAAACGUGGAAGUCGAAUAAAGUGGCAGUGCAAAAGUGUGUCCACGCGGGAUAUUCCAACAAAUAACUGAUGCAAACUAUACGUGGGCUUGAAUUGGUUUAUCUACGUCUUGGAGUAAAUAUCUCUGUUCUCUGGAGAAAAGUUUCUGAAUGCUGAGACCUCCACGGAGCCCUUUUAUCUAUUAGACUUUGUUGCUCUGAGGCAUAUUUGGGGGCAACAGAUUAUAACUAAAUGAAACUGAAAGUGUAAACCCCAUCUUCCUCUGGGGCAGGGCGUCACCCAGCGCUUUGUGAACUACAGUCUGUAAUGACAAGCCUAUGGAGGAGAGAGCAUGUCUUCCUUUGACCUAAAAUGGAUUUAUAUUUGAGGACAUCAGGCCUGUUAGUUUUUGUGUUGGUCCAAUGUGAUGCAGAAGUGAGGGUGAACCUCACAUCUGCUGUGGGAUCAUCUAUAACAUUCCCAGACCCAGUGAAGGAGAGAGGAUAUAUAUCUUUUAGAACAAAGACCAUUGCUCUCAUUUACAAUGGAGUUUUUGAGAUUGAAGAAGACAUUUACACAAACAGACUUCACUGGAGCAGCACUGGACACUUCACUCUCUCAGAUCUACAGAAAAAUGACUCUGGAGUUUAUGCCAUAGACUCUAAAAAAGGAAAUGUGUUUUCUAAAUUAUAUAAACUAAAAGUGUAUGAUCCAGUGUCACGUCCAGUAGUGUCCUGUGUGAACGUGAGCGCUGAUAUCUGCACUCUUCAGUGUUCAGUGACUCUCACGGAGCAGACCACACUGAGCUGGUUCAGAGGAGAGCAGCCUGUGGACAGCAGCAGCUCUGCAGUGCAGCUCCUCACUGUCCAACUGAGGAAAAACACCCCAGAGUACAAAUGUGUGGCUCAAAACCCCGCUGAUAAGAAGAUUGUUAUAGUUGAUAUUACUACUCUCUGCACAAAUUUGACGAGUGAUGCGAACACAAAAAACUCACAGCCUGUUGCCAUCAUCAUUCCCAUUGUCUUCGCUGCACUCAUCAUCCUGUGUGUUGUGAUUUUUGUGAUCAAGAAGAAGAAGUGUUUUAAAAAGGAAUCAGCAUCACGUCAAACACAAGGCAAGUAUUUAUUUCAUACGUUUACAUGUGACAACUAAAGUGAAGAGACUGUGUGGGAACGCUCGUUUCAGAUUGUGUGAAACAAUAUAUAGGCCAGUUGUGCACUUUAAAUGAAACUGUGGUCUUUGAUGGUUUUGUUUUAGGACUACAUUGUGACAGGAAACUUAACCACCUUAACAAAUAUUCUCAGAUAUACAGGGGCCAAUAACUUGUGUCUUGGUUACAUGAUGUGCCUAGGGUAGGAAACAUGAAAAAAUAUCAUCAUUUUCUUUGAGACAGAUCACAGUUUUAU
ensembl:lncRNA